GCAUCGGUGGUGUAGUUGUAGUAGCACGCGUCCCCGCUGAAGAUGUAACGCGGGUUCGACUCCCGCCUGAGGCC